AAUAUUGCACAAUGGGCGCAAGCCUGAUGCAGCCAUGCCGCGUGUAUGAAGAAGGCCUUCGGGUUGUAAAGUACUUUCAGCAGUGAGGAAGGUGGGUAUGUUAAUAGCAUAUUCAUUUGACGUUAGCUGCAGAAGAAGCACCGGCUAACUCCGUGCCAGCAGCCGCGGUAAUACGGAGGGUGCGAGCGUUAAUCGGAAUUACUGGGCGUAAAGCGCAUGCAGGUGGUUUGUUAAGUCAGAUGUGAAAGCCCGGGGCUCAACCUCGGAAUUGCAUUUGAAACUGGCAAACUAGAGUACUGUAGAGGGGGUAGAAUUUCAGGUGUAGCGGUGAAAAUGCGUAGAGAUCUGAAGGAAUACCGGUGGCGAAGGCGGCCCCCUGGACAGAUACUGACACUCAGAUGCGAAAGCGUGGGGAGCAAACAGGAUUAGAUACCCUGGUAG
rnacentral:rRNA from 1 species